UAGGGAAUCUUCGGCAAUGGACGAAAGUCUGACCGAGCAACGCCGCGUGAGUGAAGAAGGUUUUCGGAUCGUAAAACUCUGUUGUUAGAGAAGAACAAGGACGUUAGUAACUGAACGUCCCCUGACGGUAUCUAACCAGAAAGCCACGGCUAACUACGUGCCAGCAGCCGCGGUAAUACGUAGGUGGCAAGCGUUGUCCGGAUUUAUUGGGCGUAAAGCGAGCGCAGGCGGUUUCUUAAGUCUGAUGUGAAAGCCCCCGGCUCAACCGGGGAGGGUCAUUGGAAACUGGGGGACUUGAGUGCAGAAGAGGAGAGUGGAAUUCCAUGUGUAGCGGUGAAAUGCGUAGAUAUAUGGAGGAACACCAGUGGCGAAGGCGGCUCUCUGGUCUGUAACUGACACUGAGGCUCGAAAGCGUGGGGAGCAAACAGG
rnacentral:rRNA from 1 species